rnacentral:rRNA from 1 species
AUUGAACGCUGGCGGCAGGCCUAACACAUGCAAGUCGAACGAGUGGCGGACGGGUGAGUAAUGUCUGGGCAACUGCCUGAUGGAGGCGGAUAACUACUGGAAACGGUAGCUACUACCGCAUACCAUCCGAUUUGCCCAUAUGGGAUUAGCUAGUUGGUGGGGUAACGGCUCACUAAGGCGAAGAUCCCUAGCUGGUCUGAGAGGAUGACCGGCCACACUGGAACUGAGACACGGUCCAGACUCCUACGGGAGGCAGCAGUGGGGAAUAUUGCACAAUGGGCGCAAGCCUGAUGCAGCCAUGCCGCGUGUAUGAAGAAGGCCUUCGGGUUGUAAAGUACUGUCAGCGGGGAGGCGGUACCCGCAGAAGAAGCACCGGCUAACUCCGUGCCAGCAGCCGCGGUAAUAC